rnacentral:rRNA from 1 species
GACAGAGGAUGCAAGCGUUGUCCGGAUUUAUUGGGUUUAAAGGGUGCGUAGGCGGCCUAUUAAGUCAGUGCUGAAAUAUCCCGGCUUAACCGGGAGGGUGGCAUUGAUACUGAUGGGCUUGAGUAGAGUUGAGGUUGGCGGAAUUGACGGUGUAGCGGUGAAAUGCUUAGAUAUCGUCAAGAACACCUAUUGCGAAGGCAGCUAACUAAGCUCAAACUGACGCUGAGGCACGAAAGUGUGGGGAUCAAAC